UCUCAUCCUAGCCAACCCCAACCAAACCCACCACAAACCAGCGCGAUGGUGAAGCCUCUUCCAGAUUACAAACGACUAUACCCGUGGGCCUCCGCAACCCUGCUGGGUGAGACUUCAUCCGUCAACUCCGAUCGUGACAUCCUUCGCCUCAAGAAAGGUGAUAAGGAAAACCUCUCUUUCAGUAAAGAGCACGAUGACAAAGUAGUUG
rnacentral:lncRNA from 1 species